CGACUGCUGGCGGUGCGCACAAGUUCAGGAGCUCAACUUCCCCACUCUUAACGAGACCCGGGAUCCUUUUGGAGAGGCCCUCGGGAGCUGGCGCAGGGGCUGGGAGUGGCGUGGACACCUGCCUGGCCCCUCUGCUCAGAAUUAAUGAUGGUAGAUGGCAGCGCUGACAUCCGGGUGACCUCCCACGGUGAGCUCUCCAGGGCUCCGCCAUCCAAACCAAAUGGUGAGAUCAAGCCAGUUGGGGGUGUCACUUCCUCACCCCUCCAGAAGUAAUUCAGUUGUUUCUGCUUGUCAAAUGCUUCUGUUUGCUCGCUAAGCCCGCAUUAGUCAUUGGGAUAUGUCAGUAUGUGAAUGGAUUUCCUGUGUUCCAACAGCUGCCGGGCUGCCAGCACAUGUCCCACACAUGGCAGCAGCCAAGGCUAUGCGGGGGGCCCACAGACCUCCAGGGUCCUCGAAAUUAAGUCCAGGCUCUGAGACAGAGGAGAGGAUGCUGGGGGAGAAAGCAUUGUUCCAGGAUCCAGAAGCGAUCUGCCCCCAUCCAGUCUCCUCUCUGCCAAAGUGGAGGGGACACUGCACUGUGAAGCGACAGCCCCUACAAAAUUUCCUCUCCUCUCGGAACACAGCCCGUCUGUCCAGCAGGGUCUGAAAUAACCCCGGUCGGCCAGCAAAGGAGUGUCCAUUGUCACAUGCACAUUUGUACCACAGGGAGUCCACACGGCCCCCAUCAUUCAAAUCACAGCAGCCUCUUCGGUGACAGGGAGGCGGGGAGUGAAAGUCGUAGCUGCGAUUCCAACAGCCAGGAGGAUUGUUUUUCUGAGAAUUUCUGCCAGCAGCCACGGAGGACUCUGUGCGCCUACAGGAGAUCUGGAAAUUUAGACAGCUAUCAAAUUCAAAUUAAACACCUAUGUGCUGCCCACUUGCUGGAUAGGCAGCUCGGUCCUACUGCUUUGAGUUUGGAAAAGACCAGAAUCUGAUUGUCCUCACUGUUUUCUCGUGGAAAUGGCCCUAACCAUCUCUCCCAAGAUCGCAAAUUAGAUACUGGGGUUUAAAGCUUACAGGCCAGCGGAGCUGUUGUUCAAAAUUCAGAAAUGGGCUGCAUUGAGCCUCUGGCCUCAGAGUUCUCUAGAUCGGGCUAUUAGAAUGUGGUCGUGUGGGGGCUUCGUAUUUCUGUACAGAUCAGGACUUGUAGUUUGCAGCUGGGUUUUCGUGACUUCUUUUCAGAGGUGAGCACCAGCUGGAUUGGAGUAAACCUUUUCUCUUUUCCUCUAACUUUAGCCCUCAGGACUUAACAUUGUGAGAGAUUUCUUACUGGUGUCCUGGUGGAUGGGCUGUGUGUCAGGAACCUGGUUUCUGAUCUUGAACCUGCACCGUUCCAGCCUUGGGACCUUAGGCAAAUUAUCCAGUAUCUUCAAGCCUCAGCUUUUUCAUCUAUACAGCGGGUAUGAUGGUGACAAUAAAAAUGUGAGAAUUAAAUGAGAUGCUUAGCAUGGUACUGGGGUAUAAGAAGGGCUUAAUCAUGACAGUGUUGUCAGAAGAUGAAAACGGCAAUUGUUAUUUGGUGUCUCUUGUCUACGUCUCUUUCUCAGGGCUGUAUAAGGUUACUCCUGUGCUUGGGGGCUGAGUUGGAGUGCAAGCACCUGCCCCCAAGAGGUAGAAGGCCAAGCCACCAUGGGGUCAGGUGCCCACGAGGGAGAUGAGAUCAGAUGUCUGCAGUCCCAUGGCUUCGAGUCUGCCAGGUGCCUGAGCGGGCCCGGGACUAGCAGAGGGCUUCGGGUGGAUGGCCGGGGGUCAGGGCCCUGGGCGAGUGCUCUGAGGAUGCAUGGCUUUGGCAUGGCCAGAUUUUGGAGGUGGCAGGAGGAAAGAUUGACAUUUAAAACUUUUUUUUACUGUGGCCUAAUAUGCACAACACAAUGUACCCUUUAGCUGCUUUUGUUGUUGCUGUCAUUGUUUUGGUCUUUUUUUUUUUGGUACUGGGGAUCAAACUUAGGUCCUUGCAUUUGCGCAGCAGGCAGCGAAACCACUGAGCUAAAUCCCCGGCUCCUGUUGUGGUUGUUUUGAGACAGGCUGGCCCUGAACUUACUAUGUAGGCCAGGUUGGCCUCCAACUUGCAGCCAUCCUCCUGCCUCUGCCUCCUGAGUGCAUCAUCAUGCCUGCAUCCCAUCAACCACUCGUGAGGAUGCAGUUCAGCAGCAUUAAGGAUGUUCGCCCUGCUGUGCAACCGUCAGCAUUAUCCAUCUUUG
ensembl:lncRNA